GAUGAACGCUGGCGGCGUGCCUAAUACAUGCAAGUCGAGCGAACGGACGAGAAGCUUGCUUCUCUGAUGUUAGCGGCGGACGGGUGAGUAACACGUGGAUAACCUACCUAUAAGACUGGGAUAACUUCGGGAAACCGGAGCUAAUACCGGAUAAUAUUUUGAACCGCAUGGUUCAAAAGUGAAAGACGGUCUUGCUGUCACUUAUAGAUGGAUCCGCGCUGCAUUAGCUAGUUGGUAAGGUAACGGCUUACCAAGGCAACGAUGCAUAGCCGACCUGAGAGGGUGAUCGGCCACACUGGAACUGAGACACGGUCCAGACUCCUACGGGAGGCAGCAGUAGGGAAUCUUCCGCAAUGGGCGAAAGCCUGACGGAGCAACGCCGCGUGAGUGAUGAAGGUCUUCGGGUCGUAAAACUCUGUUGUUAGGGAAGAACAUAUGUGUAAGUAACUGUGCACAUCUUGACGGUACCUAAUCAGAAAGCCACGGCUAACUACGUG
rnacentral:rRNA from 1 species